rnacentral:rRNA from 1 species
AUUGAACGCUGGCGGCAGGCCUAACACAUGCAAGUCGAACGGUAACAGGAAGCAGCUUGCUGCUUCGCUGACGAGUGGCGGACGGGUGAGUAAUGUCUGGGAAGCUGCCUGAUGGAGGGGGAUAACUACUGGAAACGGUAGCUAAUACCGCAUAAUGUCGCAAGACCAAAGAGGGGGACCUUCGGGCCUCUUGCCAUCGGAUGUGCCCAGAUGGGAUUAGCUUGUUGGUGGGGUAACGGCUCACCAAGGCGACGAUCCCUAGCUGGUCUGAGAGGAUGACCAGCCACACUGGAACUGAGACACGGUCCAGACUCCUACGGGAGGCAGCAGUGGGGAAUAUUGCACAAUGGGCGCAAGCCUGAUGCAGACAUGCCGCGUGUAUGAAGAAGGCCUUCGGGUUGUAAAGUACUUUCAGCGGGGAGGAAGGGAGUAAAGUUAAUACCUUUGCUCAUUGACGUUACCCGCAGAAGAAGCACCGGCUAACUCCGUG